GGUUAAGCGACUAAGCGUACACGGUGGAUGCCCUGGCAGUCAGAGGCGAUGAAGGACGUGCUAAUCUGCGAUAAGCGUCGGUAAGGUGAUAUGAACCGUUAUAACCGGCGAUUUCCGAAUGGGGAAACCCAGUGUGAUUCGUCACACUAUCAUUAACUGAAUCCAUAGGUUAAUGAGGCGAACCGGGGGAACUGAAACAUCUAAGUACCCCGAGGAAAAGAAAUCAACCGAGAUUCCCCCAGUAGCGGCGAGCGAACGGGGAGCAGCCCAGAGCCUGAAUCAGUGUGUGUGUUAGUGGAAGCGUCUGGAAAGGCGCGCGAUACAGGGUGACAGCCCCGUACACAAAAAUGCACAUAUUGUGAGCUCGAUGAGUAGGGCGGGACACGUGGUAUCCUGUCUGAAUAUGGGGGGACCAUCCUCCAAGGCUAAAUACUCCUGACUGACCGAUAGUGAACCAGUACCGUGAGGGAAAGGCGAAAAGAACCCCGGCGAGGGGAGUGAAAAAGAACCUGAAACCGUGUACGUACAAGCAGUGGGAGCACGCUUAGGCGUGUGACUGCGUACCUUUUGUAUAAUGGGUCAGCGACUUAUAUUCUGUAGCAAGGUUAACCGAAUAGGGGAGCCGAAGGGAAACCGAGUCUUAACUGGGCGUUAAGUUGCAGGGUAUAGACCCGAAACCCGGUGAUCUAGCCAUGGGCAGGUUGAAGGUUGGGUAACACUAACUGGAGGACCGAACCGACUAAUGUUGAAAAAUUAGCGGAUGACUUGUGGCUGGGGGUGAAAGGCCAAUCAAACCGGGAGAUAGCUGGUUCUCCCCGAAAGCUAUUUAGGUAGCGCCUCGUGAAUUCAUCUCCGGGGGUAGAGCACUGUUUCGGCAAGGGGGUCAUCCCGACUUACCAACCCGAUGCAAACUGCGAAUACCGGAGAAUGUUAUCACGGGAGACACACGGCGGGUGCUAACGUCCGUCGUGAAGAGGGAAACAACCCAGACCGCCAGCUAAGGUCCCAAAGUCAUGGUUAAGUGGGAAACGAUGUGGGAAGGCCCAGACAGCCAGGAUGUUGGCUUAGAAGCAGCCAUCAUUUAAAGAAAGCGUAAUAGCUCACUGGUCGAGUCGGCCUGCGCGGAAGAUGUAACGGGGCUAAACCAUGCACCGAAGCUGCGGCAGCGACGCUGAUGCGUUGUUGGGUAGGGGAGCGUUCUGUAAGCCUGUGAAGGUGUGCUGUGAGGCAUGCUGGAGGUAUCAGAAGUGCGAAUGCUGACAUAAGUAACGAUAAAGCGGGUGAAAAGCCCGCUCGCCGGAAGACCAAGGGUUCCUGUCCAACGUUAAUCGGGGCAGGGUGAGUCGACCCCUAAGGCGAGGCCGAAAGGCGUAGUCGAUGGGAAACAGGUUAAUAUUCCUGUACUUGGUGUUACUGCGAAGGGGGGACGGAGAAGGCUAUGUUGGCCGGGCGACGGUUGUCCCGGUUUAAGCGUGUAGGCUGGUUUUCCAGGCAAAUCCGGAAAAUCAAGGCUGAGGCGUGAUGACGAGGCACUACGGUGCUGAAGCAACAAAUGCCCUGCUUCCAGGAAAAGCCUCUAAGCAUCAGGUAACAUCAAAUCGUACCCCAAACCGACACAGGUGGUCAGGUAGAGAAUACCAAGGCGCUUGAGAGAACUCGGGUGAAGGAACUAGGCAAAAUGGUGCCGUAACUUCGGGAGAAGGCACGCUGAUAUGUAGGUGAAGUCCCUCGCGGAUGGAGCUGAAAUCAGUCGAAGAUACCAGCUGGCUGCAACUGUUUAUUAAAAACACAGCACUGUGCAAACACGAAAGUGGACGUAUACGGUGUGACGCCUGCCCGGUGCCGGAAGGUUAAUUGAUGGGGUCAGCGCAAGCGAAGCUCUUGAUCGAAGCCCCGGUAAACGGCGGCCGUAACUAUAACGGUCCUAAGGUAGCGAAAUUCCUUGUCGGGUAAGUUCCGACCUGCACGAAUGGCGUAAUGAUGGCCAGGCUGUCUCCACCCGAGACUCAGUGAAAUUGAACUCGCUGUGAAGAUGCAGUGUACCCGCGGCAAGACGGAAAGACCCCGUGAACCUUUACUAUAGCUUGACACUGAACAUUGAGCCUUGAUGUGUAGGAUAGGUGGGAGGCUUAGAAGUGUGGACGCCAGUCUGCAUGGAGCCGACCUUGAAAUACCACCCUUUAAUGUUUGAUGUUCUAACGUUGACCCGUAAUCCGGGUUGCGGACAGUGUCUGGUGGGUAGUUUGACUGGGGCGGUCUCCUCCUAAAGAGUAACGGAGGAGCACGAAGGUUGGCUAAUCCUGGUCGGACAUCAGGAGGUUAGUGCAAUGGCAUAAGCCAGCUUGACUGCGAGCGUGACGGCGCGAGCAGGUGCGAAAGCAGGUCAUAGUGAUCCGGUGGUUCUGAAUGGAAGGGCCAUCGCUCAACGGAUAAAAGGUACUCCGGGGAUAACAGGCUGAUACCGCCCAAGAGUUCAUAUCGACGGCGGUGUUUGGCACCUCGAUGUCGGCUCAUCACAUCCUGGGGCUGAAGUAGGUCCCAAGGGUAUGGCUGUUCGCCAUUUAAAGUGGUACGCGAGCUGGGUUUAGAACGUCGUGAGACAGUUCGGUCCCUAUCUGCCGUGGGCGCUGGAGAACUGAGGGGGGCUGCUCCUAGUACGAGAGGACCGGAGUGGACGCAUCACUGGUGUUCGGGUUGUCAUGCCAAUGGCACUGCCCGGUAGCUAAAUGCGGAAGAGAUAAGUGCUGAAAGCAUCUAAGCACGAAACUUGCCCCGAGAUGAGUUCUCCCUGACUCCUUGAGAGUCCUGAAGGAACGUUGAAGACGACGACGUUGAUAGGCCGGGUGUGUAAGCGCAGCGAUGCGUUGAGCUAACCGGUACUAAUGAACCGUGAGGCUUAACCUU
rnacentral:rRNA from 1 species